rnacentral:rRNA from 1 species
AGAGUUUGAUCCUGGCUCAGAACGAACGCUGGCGGCGUGUCUUAAGCAUGCAAGUCGAACGAGAACCUGAUUGGGGUUUGAUUUAUCAAACCCCUUAUGGUGAAAGUGGCGAACGGGUGAGUAACACGUGGGUAAUCUGCCCUUGGAUAGGGGAUAGCACUAGGAAACUAGUGGUAAUACCGCAUAUUGUUAUUCUAUCAUAAGAUAGAAUGAUAAAAGGUGCCCUCUGUAUAUGGUGCCGUCCGAGGAUGAGCCCGCGACCUAUUAGCUUGUUGGUAGGGUAAUUGCCUACCAAGGCUGCGAUCGGUAGCCGGCCUGAGAGGGUGAACGGCCACAUUGGGACUGAGACACGGCCCAGACUCCUACGGGAGGCAGCAGUGGGGAAUUUUGGGCAAUGGGGGAAACCCUGACCCAGCGACGCCGCGUGGAGGAUGAAGGCCUUCGGGUUGUAAACUCCUGUCAGGUGGGAAGAAGAGCUCAGUAGCUAAUAUCUACUGGGAANGGACG